rnacentral:snRNA from 1 species
AUGCUUGCUUGGGCAGCACAUAUACUAAAAUUGGAAUGAUACAGAGAAGAUUAGCAUGGUCCCUGUGUAAGGAAGAAUGGCAAAUUCAUGAAGCAUUCCAUAUUUUU